ACCAUGGUAGCUCAGUCGGGAGAGCGUUAGACUGAAGAUCUAAAGGUCGCCGGCUCAUGGGA
rnacentral:tRNA from 1 species